AUUGAACGCUGGCGGCAGGCCUAACACAUGCAAGUCGAACGAGUGGCGGACGGGUGAGUAAUGUCUGGGAAACUGCCCGAUGGAGGGGGAUAACUACUGGAAACGGUAGCUAAUACCGCAUACCAUCGGAUGUGCCCAGAUGGGAUUAGCUAGUAGGUGGGGUAACGGCUCACCUCGGCGACGAUCCCUAGCUGUUCUGCGAGGAUGACCAGCACCGCUUGAACGGAGACACGGUCCAGACACCUACGGGAGGCAGCAGUGGGUAAUAUUGCACAAUGGGCGCAAGCCUGAUGCAGCCAUGCCGCGUGUAUGAAGAAGGCCUUCGGGUUGUAAAGUACUUUCAGCGAGGAGGCGUUACUCGCAGAAGAAGCACCGGCGAACUCCGUGCCAGCAGCCGCGGUAAUAC
rnacentral:rRNA from 1 species